rnacentral:rRNA from 1 species
UAGGAGACUGCCGGGGUCAACUCGGAGGAAGGUGGGGAUGACGUCAAGUCAUCAUGCCCCUUAUGUCCAGGGCUUCACGCAUGCUACAAUGGCCGGUACAAAGGGCUGCGAUCCCGUGAGGGUGAGCGAAUCCCAAAAAGCCGGUCUCAGUUCGGAUUGGGGUCUGCAACUCGACCCCAUGAAGUCGGAGUCGCUAGUAAUCGCAGAUCAGCAACGCUGCGGUGAAUACGUUCCCGGGCCUU